AUACUUACCUGGACCGAGUCAAUGGGUGAUCAUUAAAGUCCAUGGCUUAUGCUAGCGACCUCCAUUGCACUUUGGAGGAGUGCCGGUGUAAGGUCGACCCAAUUGGCCGAGCCUACGUCAUAAUUUGUGUUAGAGGAGGCAUGUGUUCGCGCGACCUCUGC
rnacentral:snRNA from 1 species